rnacentral:lncRNA from 1 species
AGGAAACUGGGUCACUUUCCUGAAACAUAUGAAUGAUCACCUCACAUCAUGUUGUUCUGUGCAGUUUAAUGUGAAAAUAGAUAAUCAAUGUGCCUUGUACACUCUGCAGCUUUACACCAGUCUCCAUCAGAGAAAGCCCUUGUAAGUGUGAGAAAUGCAUCUGCUCAUUCAUCAGAAUUCAGCAUAUAAGGCCUCCAUCCAUAUGGUCCUAUAAUGGAUUUCAUUGCCAAUCAUCCCUUCAGUGUGACUAUUUGCUAGAGCUCUGUCCUGGUGUGUUCUCACCUGGAAGCUCAUCUUUCCUCCAUGGAACCGAAUGAUGUACUCAGCACUCUCAAGUGAAGAUCCCUGGACAUUUCUUCUCCACCACUGCAGACAAAAGUAACUAAAGCUCAACGUGUCUGAAAAUCAACUUUGAUUGUCCUCCCAAACAUGCUUCUACCAUCUUUCUUAGCUUAGUGAACCAUGUGUUCAUCCACCAAGCAGCCCAGGCCACACUUGGGUCUCUGAGACUCAUCUCUUCCUCUCAUCUCUCAUGUUCAAACCUUCACCUCCUUAACAUUUCCUAAAUCUGUCUUUUCUAUUCUAUCUCAUUCCUAGGCUUCAAUUUAGACCCUUAUCAUUUUAUUAUGGAGAAUUUAAAAUUUUCUUAACUGAUUUUCCUGUCUCUUUUCUUGCAUAUUGUUUAUUGAUUGAUUAUCCACACUUCAUCCAGAGUGACUGCUUUAAAAUUCAAAUCUAACUCAAUUUCUUCCUAACUUACAACCCUUUAGCAGCUUCUUAUUGCUUAGGGAUCCUCGAAUGCUCUCAACAUGAUGUAUAAGACCUGAAGCGGCGUGCCCUCUGCCUGACCUGCAGCCUCUUUUCUUCCCUCUGUUACAGGCAAUGGUCCAGCCAUAACCCAGAAAAAAAGGUCAUGAACCGAACAGCUGGAGCAGAAGAUCCUAGAGGCUUUUAUCAUGUCUAAAAGAUGCUCUUAAAUGACUAAGAAUAAGUAGUCUUGAUAUUUCCUAUGCCCCAUCAGCAUACUGUCUGAUUUAUAAAUUUUGUUGAAUUUUGUCAUAAUUGCAUAUUCUUUCCAUAGGCUUUCAUCUUAUCUAUACUGGCUGUUGAGGGCUUACGUGUUGACCCUACACCAUAUCUGGUAUUUGCUCCCACUGAGUAAAGACUUCUUCAUGUUCUAACAAAUAUGGAAGCAUUUCACAUCACAUUGCCAGGCUCUGAGGAUCUCUAGCAAGAGCACAUGUGAUUAAUUUCAGUCUUUGAUAAUCCGAGAAGUAUGGAAAAUUCCCACCUCCUACUCUUUUGCAGGAUUCACAACUCUGCCAAGUUUUGUAGCUCAUCGGGAUACUUACAAGCUAAAUGUUGAGCUGUGGAAAAAAAGACAUCUUCAC